rnacentral:rRNA from 1 species
CCUACGGGGGGCAGCAGUGAGGAAUAUUGGUCAAUGGACGAGAGUCUGAACCAGCCAAGUAGCGUGAAGGAUGACUGCCCUAUGGGUUGUAAACUUCUUUUAUAUGGGAAUAAAAUGUUCCACGUGUGGGAUUUUGUAUGUACCAUAUGAAUCAGGAUCGGCUAACUCCGUGCCAGCAGCCGCGGUAAUACGGAGGAUCCGAGCGUUAUCCGGAUUUCUUGGGGUUAAAGGGCGCGUAGGUGGAUUGUUAAGUCAGUUGUGAAAGUUUGCGGCUCAACCGUAAAAUUGCAGUUGAAACGGGCAGUCUUGAGUACAGUAGGGGUGGGCGGAAUUCGUGGUGUAGCGGGGAAA